UGGAUUGUAGCUCAGGGAUAGAGUGUUUGCCUAGCAUGUAUGAGGCCCUGGGUUUAAUUCUCAGCAUUACAG
rnacentral:tRNA from 1 species